rnacentral:lncRNA from 1 species
AUAGUGCGUGGCUGGGAUGAGGGCGGCGCUCACGGUGAGGAAGCCCCGAGCUCCCGGGACGCAGACAGGGUGUGCAGGGCCGUAGCUCGGGCCUGUGUAUGCACCUGUGCGUGUGUGUUUGAUGCCAGGACAAGGCGGCGGUGUGCGCGGCGAGGAGGCUGCGACAGCUGUAUAGACCCCAGCUGCAGUGAAAUGGCCAUCAAAAAGGGAAGGGAUAAUCGAGUGGUGGAAUAAAAUCUGCAAACAGAAAAAGGACAGACCUGUUUUCGGAACGAGGCUUUUCGAGUUCAAGGGAGUAUUUUUUCUCCUCCUGAAAUGCUAGUCAGUGGUUAGGUUACUAUUAGGCAGGGCCUUGUGAGGUGCUUUGACCAAUAGAAUGUGGUGGAAGUGAUAUUGUGAGACUUCUGAGACAAAGCUUCAGGAAGUCUUGCAGCUUUUUCUCUUCCCCUUUUCCUGCCCUGAGACCACCAUGACUGAAGGCUAAGAGCAACUUGCUUGCGCAUUAAAGAUCACUUGGAGAGAGAGGUCCAGUGAGCAACAACGGCCAGAAAUUUCAGGGAGACCAUCUUGAACCAUCCAGCCUCCACCAGGCCAACAGCUGACAGCUGUCACAUGAAUAUGAUCAGCAGAAGAACCACUCAGGCAAGCCAAGCCCAAAUUGCCAAGCCCCCCAAAUAAUAAGCUAAUUGUUUUUUGUUUUAAGCCAUAAACUUUUGAGGUGGUUAUAUAGCAAUAAAUAACUGAAACAGGUGUUUAACUUUCUAGACUUUUUAAAUGACCAUAUUGAUAUAAUUGUAUUGUUCAACCUGUUUUGUAAAGUGAUUUCUCUGAUACAGUAUCUUGAAAAUAUUCCUUAACUAUUUUCUACAACUUUGCAUUUGUCUAUCUUAGUAUUAUAUUACAUGGAUAUGUGGUAACUUAUUUAACUACUAACUUCCCUUUGCAAUUCCUUUUCCUUGCUGUCUAGCUCCCAUGUCUUGACCAACUUUGCAUUCCCCUCCAGGACCUUAUGGGCACAUGGGUUCCUAUCAUUUCACGGGUAUGUAGACUCAGGAAUGUGGCAUUGACUUCUGGGUGGAGUACAGAUGACUGACACCCCCACCCCGAUUCGGAGGAAUUAUUCAGGGGUGUGAUAUAACACCUACAUACAUUUAUUUAACUAGCCAAUU